rnacentral:rRNA from 1 species
AUACGGAGGAUCCGAGCGUUAUCCGGAUUUAUUGGGUUUAAAGGGUGCGCAGGCGGGAGAUUAAGUCGGCGGUGAAAUUUUUCAGCUCAACUGUAAAAGUGCCUUCGACACUGGUUUCCUUUAGUGUAGAUGAAGUAGGCGGAAUUUGUGGUUUAGCUGUGAAAUGCAUAGAUAUCGCGAGGCACUCCGAGUGCGAAGGCAGCGUGCUAAACUACUACUGACGCUCAGGCACGAAGUCGUGGGGAUAAAACAGGAUUAGAUAACCUGGUAGUCCACGCAGUAAACGAUGAUUACUAGCUGUUUGCGAUACAAUGUAAGCGGCUGAGCGAAAGCGUUAAGUAAUCCACCUGGGGAGUACGUUCGCAAGAAUGAAACUCAAAUGAAUUGGCGGGG